rnacentral:pre_miRNA from 1 species
AAUGUCACAAUUGUUAACAAUUGUAAAAAUAGUUCUGACCCUUGAGUAAAAUUUGGUAAGUGCUAUUUUUUGGGGAAGUUUUAAGUAA